CGCGCUGAUUUCCCCCCUCCAAAGUCCGCCGAUGCCGCCGCCGAUGCCGCCGCCGCCGCUGCUGCUGCCGCUUCUGCUCGAGACAAUUCAAGAUGGCGAACGGAUCCGCAACAAGACAAGGAUUCUUUUACUUCCGGCUGAUCAGCACCUUAAAGCCCAGUGGACACCGGCCUAAUUACUGUUCUCAUUCUGUCCUUUCACGAUCCCAUAUGGUAAAACAUCAAAAAAAGAGGCAUUAUUCAGUCACAGCGAGCUCCUAUCGUUGCAUCUUCUGCUUCCGUGGCUGUUGUAUGGGAACCCGAUCUGCCUCUCCCAAUCAGAGAAGACAUUGAAGAAAGCGGUUUGGGACCUUCAAGGUCGCAGCAAUGGAAAAUGACAACACAUACAUCAUCAAACGUUGACAGUUCACACUUGUGUUGUGUGGGAAGAUAUCAGCAUCUUCCUAAUCCUUGUAACGUGCCUGACAUAAUGUACAGCUGUUCUGUGGCGUGUGGAGUAUGUGGAGUGUUGUAUUUGUGUUUGUUUGUCCAUCUGUUUGCUAGUUAGCAGGCUACUACCCGGUUCAGCGAGGAUGAAAAGCAAUGUGACAGACAGUGCCAUUAUGAUUCUGAGGGUCGAUGGUUUUAUUGAUACCAUUGUGACUGAAAUUAUUAUAAUAGAUCCCUGUAUCUACCACUUAUCCUUACCAAAAUGUGAUGGGAUAGUCCUUGUGUAAAUUUGUUGCAUAGUCCUGCUAACUGUAUACAGUAUGUCUGACUGUUUUUAUGUCAAAAUGUGUCGUGCCCUAAUACUUUUGCAUGUGUGGGGUAUUUUAAUAUAACUUAAAUAAUAUAACUUAAAUACAUCCAAUCCCUGCAGGCAUAUGUUAAGUAUCAAAUGAACAAUAUUUACCUCUUAAAGCUGAUGUAAUUGCAACUAAUUGUUAAGGUUACUUUCUUUUUAAUGAUUUGAGCUCAGUCGUCAGAAUGUCAUCAGGCCCGCUGAAGUAGCAUUAACCUGCAAAUCUUGCUCUUUCAUUCUUGUUCUCUGAAGCAUGUGUCUAUCUCAAGGCUCAGGGGCUAGAUCUGGCCCGCCACAUCAUUCGGAAAUUUUGUGUGUCGACUUUACGUUUCUUACUAAAAUACCACAAAUGCAAAUCGUCUUCACUUUUAAUAAUCUCGAGAUAAUGCAUUUUUUGUUACCAAUGCCGCUUUUAAAAAUAAAUUGAAUAAUAGUUGAACAAGGGCAGGAUGGUAGCCAACUGGUUAGAACAUCCUCCUCACGGUUCAGAGGUUGUGGGUUCAAAUCUGGGCUCUGGCCUUCCUGUGUGGAGUUUGCAUGUUUUCCCAUUGCCUGCAUGGGUUUUCUCCGCGUAUUCCGGUUUCCUCCCACAAACCAAAAACAUGCAUGGUAGGUUAA